CUGUUGACCACCUCCCGAAGCAAAAUACACCGGAAGAAUUUGUUGUAACAAGUAGACGCCCAUAUUCACCAACUGGUUUGGCAAUCUACCAUCUACAGCAAGGCUCCAACAAGGGAGGGGCAGAAGAAUAUGGUAUAAUUGUUCUAAACUAUCUUUCUACGAAAUUGGGAAGGUUCACGAGGCCAUGAGUGAUAGGGGAGCAAAGACAAACAGCCCAUCCCUAAGUUUUAAGCAGGAGAGGGAGCCUCCUCGCCAUCCGGGCUUACAAUGUAUUCAUCUCAGAGAUAAGCUUUCAUGCCCUGACACUUGUAGGGAGAUACUGGGUUCUGGGGCUCCCCAGUCCUAAAUGAAAAAUACCGUGGCCUGGAUAUUAAGGAGACUUGAUUUUACUACCUCCAGGAGGGUCCGCCUGCCGUUCCGGGGCAGCCUCCAGGAUCUCCGCCCGCGGGGUCCCACCGAGCGCCCCCACGCCCACCCUUCCAGCGAGGUGUUUGGCCAAGGCCUGCCUCACGGGCUCCGGGCAGCACCCACCCAUCCCCCUCCCCAGGUCUCAGACAAGCAGCCUAGUUAAUCAUUCAACGCCGGCGGCGUGAAACAAUUUUUUAGAGGUCAACGCGAAAGGUUCUCGGUAAGUUUCACAGAAACCAGCCUUUGGGGACCCGGAGGUGGCAGCGGUAGGCAGAUGGGGGUGGGGAGCGGCGGCGGGCGGCUCUUUGGCUCACAAAACACCUGAUCUCCCCAUGCGGCAACCGAGACCAGCGCAGUGCGAGGGUGGGGUGACGGGGUGCGAGUGAGAAAUCACACACGGCCCCCUCCCCAAAACGCCCGUGGAAGCCAGGUGAGGACGCCGGCCCCAGACGCCCCUUCCCAAUGCCGACAUCACCCCCGCGCGGGCUCCCCCGGAAGUUGGGGUGCAGCGAGGAGGGGGGAUGUCCCAGGGCCCCGUGAGGGUGGGGGUGAAACAGGACAAGAGACUAAAAAGACAUGCUGCUCCUGGUUUCGCUAUCCUCUUCCUCCAGGGUAAGGAAGCCGGAGGGAAGCGGGGACGCCUAAAUGCGGCGGGAGCCACCCGGGAACGGUUUCCUCCUAUGGCGCGCCGGUACGAAGCCGGAACCGGCGAGGAACGGGACUGCGAGGGAGAGGAGUCAGUGCGGAGCCGGGGGAAGCGCGAAGCAGAGAUGGAAAGGAGGCCGCCCCUCUUGCGGUGCGCCUGAUGUUGGGGGACUAAGCCUACAGCCUGGGUAGGACUCCAGUGACCUUUUCCAGCCAGAACCAGUUUGUGACUGGGCCUAGACUGGACCACAGCCGGCGUUCCAGUGCUUGGGUGCGUGCACCCCUGCAAAACCCGGAGUUCCACUGGGGAAGGGAGAACCAGGGCCAGAGUGGGACUUGACCAUUGCUCUCUGCCCACCCAAUACUUGCCACCAUCUCUUAGAUCCCCCAAAUAACGCCGUAGAGCCCAAGGCCUACACUGGUGCCCUACUUAGCACUGCCACCCGAUCUUCGAAUUUGUGAAGCUGCCCAGGAACUGGUGAGGGGGAAGUUUUAGUUCUGCUCCUUGUGGUGUCUUACAGAGAAUUUCCUCGAGGUUCCACGCGCGUCUUGGAAGCCAGAAAAGCAAGGUGUCCAGACGCUGCGCCUUCAACCCGCGCCGCCGCCCAGAAGUGCAGGGCAGACACCUAGGAGCUGAACUCUGACACACACCUUCGGCUCCCCACUACCGGGUGAGGACUUGGCGUCUACGACUCCCGCCGGCCGAAACACCUGGAACCACAGACGCACCUCGGCCCAGCGCCCCUGCUGGCUCGCCAGAGCACUGCAUUCUAAGGUGAGUCCCUGACUCUGGACCCGAGUUUGGGGACCCCAGGUAAGCCUAGCGCAACCUGAUGGGGAGGUUGCGCAGGUCUGAAAGGCUGGGCGCAGCCAGCUUGUCACGCGCGUGCUCCGUGGGGAGGCAAGCUUGGCCCGAGGCCCAUCUCAAAGCACCUCCGUCUGUUGGUCCUUAUCUCUUCAGGAAGAAAGAGAUCCCCUUUACCUGACCAGACCGACCAGACCCGGCAAUUAAGGACACUCCACCUUCAAAUAUGUGCAUUUUUCAGAAGGCUUUCUGAGGAGGAAUUAGCCGAAGGGGAAAGAAAUGUAAAUGCAGGGAUUUCGGGCACCUAGGAGUUCAGCCUUUUCCACUGUGGGCCCUUACUCUGAUCCAAGCUCCGAGCAAAAGAGUAUUUUGCAGCUGGAUGCACUGAGCCACGUGGGUACACGCUUUUAGAAACAGGAAUUCGAAGUCAGACCUGGGAAAAUUUUUAUUUUCAGCCUUCAGACCUUUUUGCUUUUAUGUUGAUCCCAUGAUUCUCCUAAGACUGAAACAUGAAAGUUCAAGAAACCAGUUGGAUUUUGUAUAUUCAUAGAAAAACAAAAAGGAUGCACACUGACUGCUAACCACGGGUAUCCCAAGUGUGGGAUUGGAGUGUGGGAAGGAGGGAGAUGAAUUUUAUACCCUUAUACUGACUCUGCAUUUUGUAUUUUUCCAGUUAUAUUAACUGUCACAAUUUAGAAAGGUAAUAAAACAUUUUUUAAGAAAUAUAGAAAUUAAAAA
rnacentral:lncRNA from 1 species